rfam:Coniochaeta ligniaria NRRL 30616 unplaced genomic scaffold CONLIGscaffold_6, whole genome shotgun sequence.
GGUCCCGUAGCUCAGUUGGUUAGUAGCGUCGUACUAAUAGAUUCCCUUGGGAAUCCAUGAAGUUAAUGCGAAGGUCGUGGGUUCAACCCCCACCGGGACCA